rnacentral:rRNA from 1 species
UACGUAGGUGGCGAGCGUUGUCCGGAUUUACUGGGCGUAAAGAGCGCGCAGGCGGUCGAUCAAGUCGAGUGUGAAAGCCCCCGGCUCAACUGGGGAGGGUCAUUCGAUACUGAUCGACUCGAAGGCAGGAGAGGGUAGUGGAAUUGCCGGUGUAGUGGUGAAAUGCGUAGAGAUCGGCAGGAACACCCAGGGGGAAACCAGUCGACUGGGCAUCUACUGACGCUGAGGUGCGAGAGCGUGGGGAGCGAACCGG